UCCUCCGCCUCCGCCUCCGCCUCCGCCUCCGCCGCCGCCCCUCUCACACAAUUCUCCAUUAUCUAUAGCAAUUCUAGUCCUCUGUAUGGUCUCUACUUCUUUGUUGACACCAUACCUUCCCACCAUUAGGCACCAUACCUAUGGCUGGGAGCUCGCCUCACCAUCUGACCUCCUCCUACCGCUCAUUCUCAAUUUGUUGCCAACUGAAAGCCUUGAUCCAUUCCUCCUAGUUUUAGCUUUUAGAUCGCACAAGAAGCUACGACAGAAGCCACCAGAUCUAGAUAGAUCAAAAUACCCUCAACACACGCCACUUCUCGCCAUCGCUGCUCUUCAGAUCUAUGGCGGGCCUCGAUGGAUGCCCAUGGUGUAGAUCUCGCGGCAAAGAUGGAUCACGACGCUCGACUGGAUUUCCCCCAAUCCGAGAGAGAAGGCACGACAUAUAAGGAGGUGAUUUCAGGCUACCAGAUCUGUAGAUGACAACACCCUCGGCUCUCAUUGCUAUGCACAUGUCUAAGUUAUUGUACAAUCAUUGCUCACUAGAGCUACGGUGGGCCUUAAGUAAAUCUCCAUAGCAUAAAGCUAAUGACAAAAAUGGAUCAUGACGCCCAAUUAGAUUGACUCAAUACUGGAAGGUCAAGCAUGACACAUGAGGAGCAAUCGGGGCUAGAGCACCUUCAUCCAUUUUAUGCAACCGUGAUUCCAGGAUGAGAUAUGCGCCAGUAGAUUGAGACAGGCAGAGGAGAGAUCAUGAGAGAAAUGAUGCGGAGACGUGCAACUUUUAGCAUUCAACGAGAACGUCUCGGCAUCAUAUCAUCGUAUAGAGUUGAAACAUGAGGCGUUCUAAAUGGUAAUGCAACUUUUCUUAAGACUGACAGCAUUCUCCCAAGAGGAAAAUACUGUAUGAAGCAUCCUCAAGUUACAUUAACAAGUACUUAAAAUAAGAUUUGAACUCGCAGAGGUUAAGAUAACAUUUUUUUUUACACCUCCACCAAUCUUCCUGCUUCUUCAUGGCUUCUUUUCAGAGUCCUUGGCCUGCUCCUCCUCCGCCCUCAGCACCUCCGCGGCAGCAAGCAUCAUGUCCACAAGAGGUGUCAUGAAUGAUGCUGGGGAGGGGAAUGCACUGUUUUCAUCAGAACCUUGUGUCGAAUUGCUGGGUACAGGGUUCUUGGGGUCAGUGGUUGUGGCCAUAGCCGGCUGCACAACAGUCCCUUUUCGUGCAGUCCACUUUGGUUUCCGCCUUCUACUGUCCAACCAACGUUUCACCUCCUUGGAGACAUGUUUAGGAGCAGAUGGGCAGGCCCUUACCCUGGUGCUGCCACCAGCAACAUGAUGCUUGAGGCUGGUGACGCCGCCGCUGCGCCCAACCAUGGGGCAGUACUUGCACUUCCAGUUUCUGUUUCCGUCGAUGAUGAUACCAUGCUGCCAUCCCUUACGAUCCCUGAUUUUCAGGGAACCUUGUGCGCUCUGCCAAAUUUAGGAGUGUUAGAUAGUUGUACAGAUCAGAUCAGGUUCCAUUCGGAAAAAAAAAAAAAGAUCAGAUCAGGUUCUCUCUGCUGCAAUCUAAAAAAGACUGCCAUGCCAGAGUUGGAGCACACGAGAUUUUUGUCUAUUGGUUUUAUGAGUUGUUUUGCCCCAUAAUGUCAACUAGUUCAGGGAUUGGAUGAAAAUUCAGGGCAAGCCCUUUUUUCAGUCCACGGAGUUGAGUGAUAAAAUCUAUCAGAAAUCCAUAAGAUCUGGAGUUCUUCGAGACAAAAAAAAAUUUAAGGCAGAAAUUACCCAGAACAAGAAACCAUCUCAAGAAACAUCACAGAAAAAAUAGCCCUAGAAUCCGCUAGCACAGAAUUGCAACACAGAAGAUAAAUCGCAUACGGCCUUUCUACCAACAGAAUCGAUCCUACAAGCGAGAAUUCGACAGGAUCAUACCGGCUGCUCCGGGGUGGUCUCUGGAGCCGGCCGCCGGGGCCUCUUGCAGGGCCGUACUGAAUCUGAAUCGUCGGACAGCGAGUCCGAGCAGCGCAUCUUCUCCUUCCCCUUGUUGUUCUGUUUGUCAGCCAUCUACAAAAGUUUCGACCCAGAAACGAGGAUCCUGCAUCAAAUCCAACCGAAAUUGUCACUACUACACCACUAUCCACUACCCAACGAAAGAUAAUGAGAAGAAAAUUUGCAACCUGAACAGAAAGCGUCGGAGAGGAGGGCUGACGGUAGAUGAUCCGGCAAUGCCUGGUGACAAACUUGGCGCCUAGCAUCUCCUUUUAAAGUCCCAGGAGUAUUGCCUUUCUAUUCUUGACUAUGAAUUCAUCACCGGGCGCCAGAUGUGUUUUCUUCUAAAUCUGUUCGCGCGCCUGUGUUUCUUUCUACGUACAGAUUAGCAGUCCUGUAACUUGUGGUAAGCUUUAAUUUCCUGCCUGGAAUUAUCAACGGCUACUUUCUACAGAGCACCCGGAUCCGUGACGUGGACAAGUUAUCUUUUCAAGGUGCAUGUAAUGUAUCCAUUCGUUGGUGGUUCUACGCUCUCCCUCCGUAUCAAGUGCUUUACAGUGGUAUUUUCGUAAACAAAUUUGGGAAGGCAGUAAAGUUUUUCCUUCCAUCGUUUCGUACCAACAAAUUAGAGUUGGAGGCAUCCCAUCUCAAGCUGUCUCUUUGGUUAAAAAGUUCGGGUGUUAAUUGAUAUGGACAAAAAUUUGCUUGGCUGGACGUGACAGAUUGACUGUUAACAGAUUGGCCUGAACCAACAAAAUUACUGGAAAAAGCAUGGAGAUGUUGCAGCACACCUUCUUGUUUGCAAUUUUUUGAGUCAACCUGAUUUACAAGUGAAGCUACAAGAAAGAUACAAGCGAGAGCUACGAAUACAUUCACAGUACUGUGGACUUCUGACCGUUCUUCCUCAAGUAAUUAUCUCUGUGCCCAUGCAAAACCAAAACAAAAAAAAGCAUCUUUGUGAACUGCUUGACGUUGCAAAUGGUUGUUAACAUGUACUCCCUCCGUCCGAGAAAGUUUGUCCCAAGUUUAUCCCUCAAAUGGAUGUAUCUGGCAUAAGCGAUGCCAACACAUAGUGACAUGCUAUAUUCUUAUCUUAAGUGACAACGUUUUAUGGCA